AAUGAAUUGCCUGAUGAAAAGGGCUACCUUGAUAGGGUAGAUUAUGCAGAAUUCUGCAUUCAUUA
rnacentral:tRNA from 1 species